rnacentral:lncRNA from 1 species
AGACAUUUUCACUAAUAACCAUGCUCAAGUUCAUCUGGAUACUCCUGUACAACACAUCUCAAUUAUUGUUGGGAACUCUAGAUUACUUUGUUUCUAAGCCCUGGAUCUUGUUAGGCGCAUGCAACUAUUCCUAAGUCUAAUAGAUCUUAUACAUAGUAAAAACAAUAGUAUUUAAAUUUUAUUAGGAUCUAGAUCUAUAAGUUUGAAUUGCUUACCUAGAUCUGAAUGUUCCUAGAUCGAUUUCUUAUGGUGAAGAUUAUCAUAGAAAGACACAAUAAUUGUUGGAGAUCUUGCAAAUCACUGAUCUUCCAUCUAAUGGCUAUUCCUUGAAGUUAGG